AGAGUUUGAUCAUGGCUCAGAACGAACGCUGGCGGCAGGCUUAACACAUGCAAGUCGAACGCGUGUAGCAAUACACGAGUGGCGCACGGGUGAGUAACACGUGGAUAUCUGCCUUUUGGUUCGGAAUAACCCUGGGAAACUAGGGCUAAUACCGGAUGGUUCCUACGGGAUAAAGAUUUAUCGCCAAAAGAUGAGUCCGCGUCCGAUUAGCUAGUUGGUGAGGUAAUGGCUCACCAAGGCGACGAUCGGUAGCUGGUCUGAGAGGACGAUCAGCCACACUGGGACUGAGACACGGCCCAGACUCCUACGGGAGGCAGCAGUGGGGAAUAUUGGACAAUGGGGGCAACCCUGAUCCAGCCAUGCCGCGUGAGUGAUGAAGGCCUUCGGGUUGUAAAGCUCUUUUGGCGGGGACGAUGAUGACGGUACCCGCAGAAUAAGCCCCGGCUAACUUCGUGCCAGCAGCCGCGGUAAGACGAAGGGGGCUAGCGUUGUUCGGAAUUACUGGGCGUAAAGCGCGUGUAGGCGGUUGUCCAAGUUGGAUGUGAAAGCCUUGAGCUUAACUCAAGAAAUGCAUUCAGGACUGGAUGACUAGAGGACCGGAGAGGAUAGUGGAAUUCCCAGUGUAGUGGUGAAAUACGUAGAGAUUGGGAAGAACACCAGUGGCGAAGGCGGCUAUCUGGACGGUUUCUGACGCUAAGACGCGAAAGCGUGGGGAGCAAACAGGAUUAGAUACCCUAGUAGUCC
rnacentral:rRNA from 1 species